GGUACUUACACCGACCGCUGACGGCUGACGUUCGCCAUGAUUUGGAUAGUUGUGAAAGAUGUCCUUCUUCUGAGCACGAAGGAAGUACACCAUGCUGAUUGUAUUUGACACCAUGCAAGCCCUAACAGUUGGGGAAGGCCAACUCAUUUAUGUUUGGCCACUGCUCAAUCUGAAGGGUGCUGUCGUGUUUAAAGUUUAUGGUUCUUGUCAGAAGAUUUAUUGUAGUUUGUAUUUAAUAUUUUCCCAAUUGUGUUCAAAAUUUUAGACUUGGUUAUCAAGCUGAUUUUUUUUAAUGUCGGAGCUUUAGCUUUAGUUUGUACCAGUGAGUAAUGAAAUAUACAAAUAUGAAUGAUA